GUGCUUGCUUUGGCAGCACAUAAAGUAAAAUUGGAAUGAUAUAGAGAAGACUUAGCAUGUCCCCUUCACAAAGAUAACAAGCAAAUUUGUGAACUCUUCCAUGAUAAA
ensembl:snRNA U6 U6 spliceosomal RNA